GCGUGCUGAUACUUUACCAAGGUGCAGGAAGACAUGGACCCACAUGGCAAGGUUUGCAGAAGGAGUAAUGAAAAAAAAAAAAAAGUUUAUUUUUCCUUGUACUCUAUAAAGUCUAUCUCAUUCAAUAAGUCUAUACAUGUAAAUAUCUCUGUGACACUAAUAAAUAUGUCAUAGGUUGGUAAAUUUGAUUUACAUUCUAAAUAAAAAUUCUGAUAUAAUAUUGAAUCCUUGCGAAUUAUUUUCAUUGGUGAUUGAUUUGAUGGGUGAUUAUGUUUUUAGGAAUUUAAAGUGUGUGUAAUCAGAUAUCCAUUAAUUAAAAACUAUUUAAUUGAGUGCCUAUAGUUGAGUAUCCACAGUACCUACAAAAAAUCUUUAUGCUACUUUUUCAAGGCUUUUACACAUGAGAGAAAGAAGCAGACAAAUAACUAAUCUUAAGACAGUGUGACAAGUGCUAUAAAAGGAAUGUAAAUGGUAAUAUUAGAUCAGAGAGUAAGGUUACUUUACCUCCCUUCUGUGGAAAGAUCCAGAAGGCCUCCCUAGAAGGUGAAACUUAAUCUGAUGUUUGAUGUUUUUAUUUAACCAUUAACCAGAAUGGGUUGAAAAAGGGUGAAGGUUAUUCUUGGAAGCAAAGCAAUUUAGCCCAAAGUCAUGCAAGAGAAGAACCCAACUUCUCAGAGAGCUGUAAAUAUACUAGCUUGGGCAAAAUAUUUUCCCCUUGAAGACUGGAAAUAUUAUCCAUGUUGUCUUCCUGAAUAUUUUCAAUGACCUGUGCCCUGCCAGCUCUAGCUUUUCAAGGGUCUACACUCAUCCUCAACAGAUUCUGGGGGUUCAUGUGCAGAUUUCUUACCUGGGUGUAUUGUGUGAUGCUGAGGUUUGGAGUUCAAUUGAUUUCAUCACCCAGGGAAUUGUGCUGCGCUGACCCUCAAGACAGCAGUUCUCACCCAGACACAUUCAUUCUCCACCUUCUUCGUAAGUUGCUCUCCUUACUUACCAAGCCAGCGCUGCUUCCUUUCUCUCUCCGCUUCCCUCCUCAGAGACUUCAUGCUCACUUUCCCCAAAUUUGUACUGCAUUGAUUCCUUCUCAUCAUUCAUGCCUCAAUUUAAAUAUUUACCAAUGACUGCUUCCCUGAUCAUGCAAUCUAAAAAGUAGCCCCACUUCCAUCAUUUUGAUCUCUGAUCUUUUCCUUUAUAGCACUUACAGACAUGUAUAAUCAUAUAUUCACUUGAGUGUAUGCUUGUUUAAUGUAGACCCCUUCCGCAACCCCCACUUUCCCGUAUAGACUGAAGGGAGGCAGGAACUGUGUCUGUCUUGUCUACUAUUAUAUUCCCAGUGCUGAGCCUUGUACCUGGCAUGUAGUAGGUGUUCAAUGAAUGAAAAAGUAAACAAGCCAGAAUAAUCGGACCCAGAAAUAUGCUGAAGGGAUAUAAAUGCCUAGCAAGAAGAAGGUUAGUAGGAAUAACUAUUAUUUGUGUGAUUUCAAGAUACAAAUGAUGAUAUAGGGAUAGAUACAGGGCCCUCUCGGGAAGCCAAAUGGCUGCACAAACAGUGUGGUAGGAACACAAUGUGGCCACUGUGUCUGUGCUGCUCUGAUUGGAUCUAAUGAUAAUUUUGUAAAUGCACCCAUGGUGAUUAGCAACUGGCUCAUACUGAAUAAACUCAUGACAGAUUUAUGUGUGCACUGCAAUGCCAACUUAUUCAUUCAUAAUACAAAAUAGAACUAUCAAGUCAACAUGCAGCUCAAUCACCCCCUAUAGGAGAGAGACAGGUAGCUAAAUUACAUCCAAAUGAUUAACUGCUCAGAAAAGAUUCCCGGUCACAAAUCACCUGUGCAGCUGAGAUACCAUCACCUUAGUCUAAGCUACCGUUGUCUUAUGUCUGCACUUUUGCAACAACCUCAUGACUGUUCUCUGCCGUCUCUGCCUCUCAAAUUCAUAAGGCACCCAGCAGCAAAAGUGUUCCUUUUAAAACACAAAUCCAGUUAGGUCCCUCCUCUAUUCAAAACCCUUCAGUAGCUCUCCAUUAUAUGAGAAGGAACUCCAGCCCUGACUUGUAACCAGUUUGUAAGGUUUGGUAUGAUGGGGCCCCUGCCUUCUCUCCAGCCUCAUCAAGUGCCCCUCUCCCCAGACCUUCAGACUCCCCAACACAGAGGUGUGUGUUCAGAUUUGAGAAUCUGACUAUACGAAUGGACAAUGGCCAGACCAUAAAUAAAAAUAGAACUCUGGGCCAGGUGUGGUGGCUCACGCCUGUAAUCUCAGCACUUUGGGAGGCCAAGGCGGGUGGAUCACAAGGUCAGGAGAUCAAAACUAUCCUGGCAAACACGGUAAAACCCCGUCUCUACUAAAAA
ensembl:lncRNA